AUCCCUCUGACCGCGACAGGUUCCCCGGCGACGGGGGAUGAAAAGGGAACGGGGAGAACCCCGGCUGCCCCUGCAACUGUAAGCGGCGAGCCAUCGUGCCAUCAUGCCAUUGGGAUCCCGGUCCCGAGAAGGCGGCGCGAAGGGCUGUGACCCGUGAGCCAGGAGACCUGCCCGUCGCAGUCGUCUUUC
rnacentral:ncRNA from 2 species